GCGGGAGUAGUUCAGCUGGUAGAACAUCAGCUUCCCAAGCUGAGGGUCGCGGGUUCGAGUCCCGUUUCCCGCUCUA
rnacentral:tRNA from 1 species